rnacentral:rRNA from 1 species
UAGUUCGAAUCCCCGAAACUAAGUGAGCUACUUCAAAACGUCCUCAGGACAAACCCAUCUCUGUCGCAAUAGAGUGGGAUGAUUUUCAAGUAGAGGUGAUAAACCUACCGCACUUAGAGAUAGCUGGUUACUUGAGAAAAGAAUUUAAGUUCUACCUUAAGCUUCCUAAUUACAAAACAAACCUAUUAAACUUAAGAGCUAUUCAAAUAAGGCACAGCUUAUUUGAAACAGGAUACAACCUAUAACCCCGGGUUAAAGCCCUAGAACAGGCAACAAGUGGGCUUAAGAGCAGCCAUCUUCCAAAAAGCGUUAAAGCUUAACUCCUAUUCUACCUCAAUUUCCCCACACACCUUCAGCCCCCCACCUAUAUUGAGUAAUCCCAUAUACUUAUGGAAAAUACAAUGCUAGAACUAGUAACAAGAAAAUUUUUCUCCAAAAUGCAAGCCUAAGCCACAAUAGACAACCCUACUGGCAAUUAACGUAAUUGACCAUACUAUAGUACCCCAAACAAGAAUAUCCUAUAACUCCCAACGUCAACCUUACACCAGAGCAUUAAUGGAAAGAUUAA